rnacentral:pre_miRNA from 8 species
CUCUUUGGUUAUCUAGCUGUAUGAGUUUAUGUGAUAUCAUAAAGCUAGAGAACCGAAUGU